rnacentral:miRNA from 1 species
UACCUCAUUGACUGGAAGGAAUCCCUUCCAAUCGAUGAGGUUGUUACAUCUCAUUGACCGGAAGGAAUCCCUUCCAGUCAAUGAGAUU